UUCAGGUGCAAUUGUGGUCGUGCUGUUCACGAAAAUGAGAGAGAGAUUCUUCAAAUCAAACUCUCUUCUAUGUUCUCUUUAGUUCGGAUUUCAGGAUUCAAUUCAAAAAUGGCGAACCAAGAAGAGAUUAAGCAUGAAUGAUAAUAUACUAUUGGCUUGAGUUAAAUGGAGUGGAGCUAUGAGGUUGCAACAGCAAAUACUGUGAUUCCAGUAAAGGUUUUGGUCUAUUUCAAGUACUAAUGCUUCUGAUGGUUAGUUUUAUGUAUCUUCCAUAGUUUAAACCGAUUUUUAUCUGGGCAAUUAUAUAUUUCUUGAUUUAAAAACAUGUCAGCUUGAUGUUUAGUUUUGGUCUAUAUGAUAUAAUAUGAUUGCUUACUUUAUAUUGUUCUUGGUUUUCUUGGAAAUAUGUCAUAUGGGGUUUUGUUGGUUGUGCCACUUGAUUUGGCACUAACCUAUGAGAGUUUUGUUGGUUGUUCUUUCUUGGUUUUGUACUAAUGAGUUGAUUUUGUGAUGGAAAUAUUAGAGAAUGUUAGGUGCUAGAGUUUACAAGUUUAUAAAAUUGCCAAAAGUUAAAACCUGAGUGAGGAAUUAGAUACACCCUCCAUAGAUGUAAAAACUCAGAUCAACUUGUAGUUUAAUAUUCUGAGGGCUAAACACCCAUUUCAGUACAUGUUGUUUCUAUUGGGUAUGAUAAUGAAUUUCACUUCUGAUUAACUAUUACAUUUUGGUAUCUAGUUUAUCUUCCUAAUGAAAUUUUAUUUCCUGACAUAUUUAGAGUGGGUGCUGUCAAAGUCUUCCUUUUCUUUAGAUGCUAUUUUUGAUGGUCUUUCAUCAGUUUUAUGCACAAGCAGUCUCGUGGCUAUGGCAACAAUAACUGAGGAUGAUUUAUGAUGUUCCUGGCUCCACGAUAUAUGUGGUGGUAGUUGGCACAACUACACAAGCUAAGCUAUACCGAGCUUUAGAAAAGAUUCUCCUGACACAUGGUUUGCUUCCAUCCAUUAUUGACUGAUACGAGUCUUCUGAAAAUUUUAACUGCGUUUUUAUAUACAUUGCUAAAGUUGCCAUUAGUAUCAUACUGAUACAUAUCGUGCUUUCUUAGUGGAAACUUUUAGUUUUCUCACAAAAUGAUCUUAGACGAGUGUGGUCUGGUUUAAUCUAAUUGAAGAUCUUAGCUUUUAUAACUACUCCGUUGAUUAGUUAGUGUGCUCAGAUUCAAUAUUGGCACGUUCUUACAUCGAGUUUGCUUACUUUCUGUUUUUGCUACACUUGGUGGCAAGUCCUCAGCUCUCAGCUAGUUUGCUUACUUUCUGUCAUGCUUCAAGGAAGACCUGCGGCAAGCUAAUAUAACUUUACAGUUUUAUUAAGGGCUUAAUCUUUAUCUGAUAAAAUGCUCUUCCAAUUCUGCCAUUUCAUUUUUAAGCUAACUGAAAUACUAUAAAUAGCAGGUUUCUGCUGGGAUGAUCACUUACCCGGGAGUCAGGACAGGACUUAAAUAUUUUACUUACUUCCUAACCAGGGAUACCUUGACCCAUCAACUGGCAGAUAAAAGCGACGUGUACAUCCUGGGACUAAUUCUGGAGCUACAGGCUACAGGUAAAAGGAGAUUGAGCAGCUUUGUUAGAUUUGACAAUCAAAAUAAUUUAGGAAAAAAUUUGCUGUAAUAAGUAUUACUUUUCUUAUUUUUAGAUUACUUAAUAAGUCUUGUUGCCAACAAAUAAAAGUUGAACAAAGUACUGUAAAGUAUUUUUUUUUUUUUUUUAAAGUACAUUAUAAAAAUUUUAGAUUUUUUAUUCUUAGUUGUUAGUCACAUUUUGUUUUAUGCUUUAAUUUAAUUAGCUUGCAAUAAAUAUACGGAGUAGUUGUUGGUGAAAAAAAAAUCAUACACAUAUAUACAUUGAAAUAAAAAAGUAACAAAUUCUCGACGCUUUUCUGAGUAGAGAAUUGUUUGCCAUUUGGAAAUUUGAUGAUGAAAUUCUUGACGCCAAAA